UUUAUUUGUUAGGCAUGAAUUUAUUUUUGUUGUAUAUCUUCCCAGGUUUCUGUUGGGUAUUUUAUAAGUCGUAACUUUGGUAUGGUCGGUGGUUAAAUUUAACUGAACAUCGCUGAAUAUGACAAUAUAAUAGAAAUGGAUCCUUGGGGCAGAGACUACCUUUGGGUUCAACCUGGUUAUAAUGAAAUGGCGUUCACAGUGUGCAAAACCAAACACAAGGGCUGGGAUAAUACCUUAAUGUUUAAUGCAAUAUACAACAUGUUUGAGGACAAAUGCCAGCCAGUGAUAUCAAAACAAUAUAUUUAUCUUAAUUGAUCUUA